rnacentral:rRNA from 1 species
AUUGAACGCUGGCGGCAGGCCUAACACAUGCAAGUCGAACGAGUGGCGGACGGGUGAGUAAUGUCUGGGAAACUGCCAGAUGGAGGGGGAUAACUACUGGAAACGGUAGCUAAUACCGCAUACCAUCGGAUGUGCCCAGAUGGGAUUAGCUAGUAGGUGGGGUAACGGCUCACCUAGGCGACGAUCCCUAGCUGUUCUGAGAGGAUGACCAGCCACCCUGUAACUGAGACACGGUCCAGACUCUCAAGGGAGGCAGAAGGGGGGAAUAUUGCACAAUGGGCGCAAGCCUGAUGCAGCCAUGCCGCGUGUAUGAAGAAGGCCUUCGGGUUGUAAAGUACUUUCAGCGAGGAGGCGUUACUCGCAGAAGAAGCACCGGCUAACUCCGCGCCAGCAGCCGCGGUAAUAC